UACCUAGUUUUAGGAAGAUGGACGACACGCAGUAAAGGGCCGCGGCUCGGAUUCGAACUGUGGCCGCUGGACUAUGACUCAGCUUACAUGGGGCACACACUCUACUGGGUGAGCCCAUGGACAGUGAAAAAGCCCCACAAACUGCUACAGUGACUGUGUCGGUCUCGUUCCGUUUCAGCCAAUCGCGUAAGCGUAGAUUCGAGGGGAAAACUUAUCACGUAGCGUUACAUCUGCGCAGUAGUCACUUCAAUUAUGAGUUAGAACUUGUUAGCUACCCUGCUGGAGGUCAACCCCCGAGUGAAAACAUAACAAGUUUAGCUCGUCGUUGCUGCUUCCCUCACCAUUCAGACACCAACCUGUUCAUGCCAGGAAGGUUCCCCCAGAAGUAGCGGGCGCGGUGGGCAGCAGACACUUCCUUGGCAUCGAUCAUCACUGGGUUGCACUGAAAUCCAAGUAAAGCAGAGAAGAAAAGACACCAGGGACCAAGAAAAAAAAAAAUCCAACUCACAUGUUUGCGUGUGACAUUCCUCACAUCACCAACAUACAUGAUGCGACCCUGAUGCCGGACGAUACCCACAGU